rnacentral:rRNA from 1 species
AUUGAACGCUGGCGGCAUGCCUUACACAUGCAAGUCGAACGGCAGCACGGGUGCUUGCACCUGGUGGCGAGUGGCGAACGGGUGAGUAAUACAUCGGCACGUACCUUAUCGUGGGGGAUAACGCAGCGAAAGCUGUGCUAAUACCGCAUACGCCCUGAGGGGGAAAGCGGGGGAUCGAAAGACCUCGCGCGAUUAGAGCGGCCGAUGCCUGAUUAGCUUGUUGGUGGGGUAAAAGCCCACCAAGGCGACGAUCAGUAGCUGGUCUGAGAGGACGAUCAGCCACACUGGGACUGAGACACGGCCCAGACACCUACGGGAGGCAGCAGUGGGGAAUUUUGGACAAUGGGGGCAACCCUGAUCCAGCAAUGCCGCGUGAGUGAAGAAGGCCUUCGGGUUGUAAAGCUCUUUUGUCAGGGAAGAAACACCGGCUCUAACACAGUCCGGGAAUGACGGUACCUGAAGAAUAAGCACCGGCUAACUACGUGCCAGCAGCCGCCGCCG